CAAAUCAGGUGGGACUACCCGCUGAACUUAAGCAUAUCAAUA
rnacentral:rRNA from 1 species